rnacentral:rRNA from 1 species
CCUCAGUUCGGACUGGAGUCUGCAACCCGACUCCACGAAGCUGGAUUCGCUAGUAAUCGCGCAUCAGCCACGGCGCGGUGAAUACGUUCCCGGGCCUUGUACACACCGCCCGUCACACCAUGAGAGUUGGGAAUACCCGAAGCCUGUGAGCUAACAUUUAUGAGGCAGCAGUCGAAGGUAGAAUCAAUGAUUGGGGUGAAGUCGUAACAAGGUAUC